UUCCGGUUGAUCCCGCCGGACCCGACUGCUAUCAGAGUGGGACUAAGCCAUGCGAGUCGACGUAGCAAUGCGUGGCGAACGGCUCAGUAACACGUAGUCAACAUGCCCAGGGGACGUGGAUAACCUCGGGAAACUGAGAAUAAACCACGAUAGGUCACGAUUUCUGGAAUGGAUCAUGGCCUAAAUCUACAUGGCCCCUGGAUUGGACUGCGGCCGAUCAGGCAGUUGGUGAGGUAAUGGCCCACCAAACCUAUAACCGGUACGGGCUCUGAGAGGAGAAGCCCGGAGAUGGGCACUGAGACAAGGGCCCAGGCCCUAUGGGGCGCAGCAGGCGCGAAACCUCUGCAAUAGGCGAAAGCCUGACAGGGUUACUCUGAGUGAUUUCCGCUAAGGGGAUCUUUUGGCACCUCUAAAAAUGGUGCAGAAUAAGGGGUGGGCAAGUCUGGUGUCAGCCGCCGCGGUAAUACCAGCACCCCGAGUGGUCGGGACGAUUAUUGGGCCUAAAGCAUCCGUAGCCGGUUCUGCAAGUCUUCCGUUAAAUCCAGCCGCUCAACGGAUGGGCCGCGGAGGAUACUACAGGACUAGGAGGCGGGAGAGGCAAGCGGUACUCAGUGGGUAGGGGUAAAAUCCUUUGAUCCAUUGAAGACCACCAGUGGCGAAGGCGGCUUGCCAGAACGCGCUCGACGGUGAGGGAUGAAAGCUGGGGGAGCAAACCGGAUUAGAUACCCGGGUAGACCCAG
rnacentral:rRNA from 1 species